rnacentral:rRNA from 1 species
UACGGAGGGUGCAAGCGUUGUUCGGAAUCACUGGGCGUAAAGCGCGUGUAGGCGCCUUCUCAGCCUGGUGUGAAAGCCCGGGGCUCACCCCCGGAAGUGCAUUGGAUACUGGAAGGCUGGAGUACCGGAGAGGAGGGUGGAAUUCCUGGUGUAGCGGUGAAAUGCGUAGAUAUCUGGAGGAAUACCGGUGGCGAAGGCGGCAUCCUGGACCGAGAUUGACACUGAUGAGCGAAAGCCAGGGGAGCAAACGGG